CAGCCGCCACGGUAAUACGAAGGGUGCAAGCGUUACUCGGAAUUACUGGGCGUAAAGCGUGCGUAGGCGGCUAAUUGAGUCGGAUGUGAAAUCCCCGAGCUUAACUUGGGAAUUGCAUUCGAUACUGGUUAGCUAGAGUGUGGGAGAGGAUGGUAGAAUUCCAGGUGUAGCGGUGAAAUGCGUAGAGAUCUGGAGGAAUACCGAUGGCGAAGGCAGCCAUCUGGCCUAACACUGACGCUGAGGUACGAAAGCAUGGGGAGCAAACAGGAUUAGAUACCCGCGUAGUCCCUGUCUCUUAUAC
rnacentral:rRNA from 1 species